AAACAUUUCUUUUAGUUUUUAUUUAAAAGUAUUCCCUGCUCUAUGAUAAUAAUUAAAUGGCUGCAGUAUUUUAACUGUACAAAGGUAGCAUAAUAAAUAGUUUCUUAAUUGGGAGCUUGUAUGAAAGGGUUUAUGAAUUAUAAUUUUUAUUUUAUUUAUUUUUAGAACUUUAUUUCUAAGUAAAAAAGCUUAGUUUCUUUUUUGGGACGAAAAGACCCUAUAGAACUUGAUUGAUUUAAUUUAUUAUUUAUUUUUUGUUUUUUUCAUUAAGUUAAUAUUUAUGUUUAUUUGAUUGGGGCGAUUAUUAAGAAUAACAAAACUUUAUUUUCUUAUUUCAUUUAUUAAUGUUUUAUUGGUCCAAUAUUUUUGAUUAAAAGAUUUAGUUACCUUAGGGAUAACAGCGUAAUUUUAAUGGGGAGUUCUUAUUUAUAUUAAAGUUUGCGACCUCGAUGUUGAAUUAAGAUUAGAAUAUGGGGUAGGUUUUAUAAUUUCUAGGUCUGUUCGACCUUUAAUUUCUUACAUGAUCUG
rnacentral:rRNA from 1 species